CCUACGGGAGGCAGCAGUGAGGAAUAUUGGUCAAUGGACGAGAGUCUGAACCAGCCAAGUAGCGUGAAGGAUGACUGCCCUAUGGGUUGUAAACUUCUUUUAUAUGGGAAUAAAAUGUUCCACGUGUGGGAUUUUGUAUGUACCAUAUGAAUAAGGAUCGGCUAACUCCGUGCCAGCAGCCGCGGUAAUACGGAGGAUCCGAGCGUUAUCCGGAUUUAUUGGGUUUAAAGUGAGCGUAGGUGGAUUGUUAAGUCAGUUGUGAAAGUUUGCGGCUCAACCGUAAAAUUGCAGUUGAUACUGGCAGUCUUGAGUACAGUAGAGGGGGGCAGAAUUCGUGGUGUAGCGGUGAAAUGCGUAGAUAUCACGAAGAACUCCGAUUGCGAAGGCAGUUCACUGGACGGCAACUGACACUGAGGCUCGAAAGUGUGGGUAUCAAACAGGAUUAGAUACCCGUGUAGUC
rnacentral:rRNA from 1 species